GCCUUGGUGGCUUAACUGGUAGAGCGCCAGAUUUGAAUGGCAAUGAUUAUGCAAUAUUCUUCUGACGGUGCGAGUUUGAUCCUUGCCCAAGGCU